CAAUAGCGUAUAUUUAAGUUGUUGCAGUUAAAAAGCUCGUAGUUGGAUUUUGGGUCGGGGGCACCGGUCCGCCGUUCCGGUGUGCACUGGUGGCCCCUUCCUUUCUGCCGGGGACGUGCGUCGCACUUAAUUGGGUGGCGUUCGGAGUCGGCGUUGUUACUUUGAAAAAAUUAGAGUGUUCAAAGCAAGCCAUCGCUCUGAAUACAUUAGCAUGGAAUAACAUGAUAGGACUCUGGUCUUAUUUUGUUGGUUUCCGAGACUGGAGUAAUGAUUAAGAGGGACAGUCGGGGGCAUCCGUAUUUCAUUGUCAGAGGUGAAAUUCUUGGAUUUAUGAAAGACGAACUUCUGCGAAAGCAUUUGCCAAGGAUGUUUUCAUUAA
rnacentral:rRNA from 1 species